UAAGGCAAGGUUCACCUGAGGAGAGCGUUGAGUAUCCACAGGUUGGAGCUGACUCCGAACCGCCAGAGCAGUGAAAGGGAAGGAAAGGAGAGCAGAGAUUUUGAGUGACAUCCUCCACAGAAAGGAAGAAACACUCACCAUGGGACUGUGAGGCUCCUAUCUGAUCUCGAUGUGAAGGCACCUGUCAAACGCGCCAUUAUAUCUCUUUAGCGGAACCUGAGUGCUGCUCGGCGAUUAAAGGUCUCUCAUUUAACCUGGGGCUGCACUGAUUCGGACUGGCUGGCCAGAAAGCCAUAGGAACCCUCGGGCCUCUGCUUCUAUGGUUCCAGGAUUACAGGUAACACCCAUUGCAGACAUGUGGAAACCUGUGGCCAUUCAGGACUCUUGGCAUCCUCCUCAGUGUUUGCCUGCACAGACUGUGUGGUCUCUGGGCUGCUGUUAUCAUCGGAUCAUUCCUGCCGCUGUAGAAACGCUGACCACAUCUCCACCCCUUCUUGUGAAGAAGCCUUUGUGACUCAGAGAUAGUCCUGGCAGCUUUAUCCUCCGUCCUUCUUCUUCCUCCUCCAACCCCACUCCUGCUACUUUCAUCUUGCACGGCCAUUCCCCACUCUACCUCUGAGCCCAACGAAUGGCCUUCGUGGCUUAUCUGAGAAUGCCUAUUUCAGUUUAGUCCGAAGAUAUCUAAGAAGUAGGAAAUCACGUUUUAAUCUAAGCUCAAAAUAAAUGCCGAGUCAUGCGACGUAUCAGAAAAAAAUGCAUUUGAACAGAAGAAUUGAAGAUAUCAAAUAGAUUCGCAAAAGUACGUUUCUAACCCUGUUACUGAGACAGUAAAUUAUUUAUGCUUUGAAAGAUAUGCUAAUAAUGCUUCAUUUUGUUUUAUGUGUGUUUUCAAUAACAUGGAAGGACGCAUCUUGAUUUCUUGUGACACGAGAGUUUGCUCUCAGGGCCUGGCUCAAGCACUCCACCCCUGAUCUGUGUCACACUGCCUUCCUGUCACUUUCGAUAGCAAGACAGGGCUUCACUAACUUGUCAAGGUUGGUCUUGAAUUUGCAGUGGCAUGGGGCUUGUAGGCUGUGCCACCAGGCCCAGUAAACAACAGUUCAUAGCAAUCUUUUUCUCUUGGCUGAAUAAUGUAUCAGAGAUAUUUUCAUAUUGUUAAUCAUUCAUAUUAUCAGAAGUGACCGUAUAAUACUCCAAUUUGGCUAUGUUUAUAAUUUAUUCAGCAAAUGUCUUACUCAUCUCUGAUGCUCUGAUGGUUACCAUCAGAGCCUGAAUAUACAUAAAUACCUCUAGGAGAAUUACUAGACCAAAGAGUGCACAUAAUACUGAGGCUACAUGAGUGAAAUAUAGGGUCUGAUCUACUGGGAUGACUGAGAAUUAAAGUUAGUGGAAAAUAUAGAGAAAAUGUGACUCUUUGGGGAGAAUGAAAAAAAGCAUCAUUGAUGAAGGCAACCAUAUUGUAUUCAGGUAAGGGCAUAAGGAAGCCUCGACAGGAAACAAAAGCACCAGGGUCUGUACGGUGCUUCCGAAAUCUGCCCAGUCUCCUCCGUUACUUCCUCAAUUAAUAAAAACUGUCUUUGUCGAGUGGACAACUUCACUCUUCUCCAUACAGCUCUUGUGUGCUUCGCUGGUGAAAUUUUUCUAACUGAAAAAGAGGUGGCAAGCCCAGGAUCUUGGCUGAGGGAGAGA